CAAUAGCGUAUAUUAAAGUUGUUGCGGUAAAAAAGCUCGUAGUUGGAUUUCUACCGAAGAUAGCCGGUCGGGUCUUCGACCUUGUAUCUGGUUUUGUCUUUGGUAUCCUCAUAGGGAACGUUUCUGCGCUUUAUUGCGUGGUGCGGUAUCUAUGACUUUUACUUUGAGGAAAUUAGAGUGUUCACGGCAGGCAAACACCUUGAAUAUAUUAGCAUGGAAUAAUAACAUAGGAUCUUCGUCCUAUUUUGUUGGUUUCUAGGGCUAAGAUAAUGAUUAAUAGGGAUAAUUGGGGGCAUCUGUAUCAACGCGUCAGAGGUGGAAUUCUUGGAUUGCGUUGCGACAAACUACUGCGAAAGCAUUUGCCAAGGAUGUUUUCAUUGA
rnacentral:rRNA from 1 species